rnacentral:lncRNA from 1 species
CGCGAGCCUACACGCGAUGAGUGCUUCCCGAGCCCCUCUCGCCUCCUCGCCUCAGCCCCGAUGGCUAGCGACUCCGACGUCCUCUCCGGAGUACGCUUCAGCCACCGGUGUCCCUAGAACGCCCGGUUGCAGCGUGCCGCGCUGUCCCUGUCCUGGCCGGAUCAUAUGUCAACCCCGCGAUCGCGGCUAGCUCCCGCUCGCUGGAGCUGCCCCGCCAACGCAGCCGUUCUUGGUCAGAUCUGGACCCUCCUCGCCAGAUCUACGAUGGAUCCGCCUGUCUAUACGCUCACGUGUGCCGCCCGUCGCCGUUCUCUGCCUCAUCGUUGCCGACCCUAGUUCUUGCUCGGAAUCGGUAGGAGAUCAAUUCCCCAGCCAACGCAUGCAUGGGCCACUUCAGCCGGUCGGCCCAGUCACUCGACCCCGUCGGCCCAACAUAGGCCAGCACCAGUAGCAGGCCAUUCGCCUGCUCGCCGCCAGCCCAACCGCUGCUACAUCGACCGGCCCGUAGGCCCUGCGUGAGCAUCCCCAACCCCAUCUAUUUGUCGCCCACUGCACGUUGUAGUUAAGUUGUGCUCACCUCUGUGCAGCCCAGUAACAUGAGAUUC